rnacentral:misc_RNA from 1 species
CGAACUGGUAUCGGCUUCUGG